GUCUACAGCCAAACCACCCUAAACAGGCCCAAUCUCGUCUCGAUCUCGGAAGCUAAGACGGGUCGGGCCUGGUUGGUACUUGAAUGGAGACCGCCUGGGAGUACCGGGUGCUGUAGGCU
rnacentral:rRNA from 1 species